rnacentral:rRNA from 1 species
GGGCCCGCACAAGCGGUGGAGCAUGUGGUUUAAUUCGAUGAUACGCGAGGAACCUUACCAGGGCUUAAAUGUAAGUUGCAUAGAUCAGAGAUGGUCUUUUCUUCGGACUACUUACAAGGUGCUGCAUGGUUGUCGUCAGCUCGUGCCGUGAGGUGUCAGGUUAAGUCCUAUAACGAGCGCAACCCCUGUCGUUAGUUACCAGCAAGUAAUGUUGGGUACUCUAGCGAGACUGCCGGUGCAAACCGUGAGGAAGGUGGGGAUGACGUCAAAUCAUCACGGCCCUUACGUCCUGGGCUACACACGUGCUACAAUGGCCGGUACAGAGAGCAGCCACUACGCGAGUAGGAGCGAAUCUUCAAAGCCGGUCUCAGUUCGGAUCGCAGUCUGCAACUCGACUGCGUGAAGCUGGAAUC